rnacentral:rRNA from 1 species
UACGUAGGGCGCAAGCGUUGUCCGGAAUUAUUGGGCGUAAAGAGCUCGUAGGCGGUCUGUUACGUCCGCUGUGAAAACCCAGGGCUUAACCCUGGGCUUGCAGUGGAUACGGGUAGACUAGAGGCAGGUAGGGGAGAAUGGAAUUCCCGGUGUAGCGGUGAAAUGCGCAGAUAUCGGGAGGAACACCGGUGGCGAAGGCGGUUCUCUGGGCCGGACCUGACGCUGAGGAGCGAAAGCGUGGGGAGCGAACAGG